rnacentral:rRNA from 1 species
UACGUAGGGUGCGAGCGUUAAUCGGAAUUACUGGGCGUAAAGCGUGCGCAGGCGGUAAUGUAAGACAGAUGUGAAAUCCCCGGGCUCAACCUGGGAACUGCGUUUGUGACUGCAUCACUCGAGUACGGCAGAGGGAGGUGGAAUUCCGCGUGUAGCAGUGAAAUGCGUAGAUAUGCGGAGGAACACCGAUGGCGAAGGCAGCCUCCUGGGCCAGUACUGACGCUCAUGCACGAAAGCGUGGGGAGCAAACAGGAUUAGAUACCCGCGUAGUCC